GACUCAAGCAUUAAAUUUUUACCCUAUCACCAUGCUGCCUCCAAGAUAUCUUUGAAAAUAUUGAAAAUGAAGCUAUCAGUGUAAAAAUAAGACCUUGAGCCUGUUUAAUUUGGGGUUUGUAUUUCAGCAACAUUUUAACACUAAUUCUUUUAAGUGAAUAAAAACUAAAUUAACUAACUGUAACUCUGUAAUUUAUUUCCUUAUAUGCUCAGUAUCAUGUCAACCCUUUGUUAGCAUGGCUGACAUUUCCCAGCAUUGAAAUUUAUUACAUAUGAUCAUACUUCUGUAUUGACUACAGAUAUUUCUUUCUUCUCUGAACAAACCUCUUUGUUGUCACACUGUUAGCAGAUAUGUAUUCUACUCUACAGGCAGCAAUAAUGCAUAAAAAUAUGGUUGUAGAUAUUCACGUCCUUUCUCAAGCCCCAGCACAUACUGAUGUAACCAUCACGUCAUUCAUGUUUAUUUCAUCAUGACAAGAACAAAAACAGAAAUAAUUAAUAUUGAUUUCCCUGAUCUUGCCUCUAACCUAUACAGCUUUCACUAGUGUGGAUUGAUGGAGAAAUACUUUACCUCUGAAGCUCUCUGACAUUUAAAUAUUUAAGUUCCAUUUCAUAGCUCACUAAAUACUACUGGGAUACACAAAAAUAACUACCAAAAAAGCAGAACUACACAAAAAGAACUUGAGAAAUUAGCUGAAACCAGAAAGUCUCUACAAUUUUAAAAAGCUAUCGUUAGAAACUUACAUUCUCAGCAUCAAAUUUGUAUUUUCAAUCUCAAUAGGAGAGAUAUGAACAUUAUUACUCUUUAAUAAAACCUUGAAUAAUAUUUCCUGUUAUUGCCCAAAUGCAGUGACACCAAGAACUAGUAGUCUGUUAGUAUUUACAACUUACUCCCUAAUUUAUGAGCAGAUCACUCUCUCUGACUUUCAUUUACUGCUUUCUUUUGACCACAGCCCUGCAAGCUUGGGCAGGUUAUUUAACCUCUCCAGCCUUCCUCAUAUUUAACCAUUUAACAUAUAACAUAAAUCCACGGAUUAAAUGAGAAUAUGUGUAUGUGUUACACAUAUCAAAGAAUGCCUGCCAUACACGUAAUAGACUCACAAUAAGUUCCCUCCUUUUUUCCUUUUCAUAUGUAUGUUUACCUGUGUAUAUAUACUAAGUAAACAUCUGUUAAAUACAUUGUACUCGAUCACAUACUAUAUACUUUAUAUGCAUGCUAUAAAGUAUAAUGUGUAAAUAUACACAUUAUAUUUAUAUAUGCUUCAAUACGGCUCAGCCCAGCACUGCUUUCACCAGAAUUUCCUAAGCAUGUUGCAGGGCUCUAGCCUGCCCACAGGAAGAAUACUCAGCCUGUCUGCAUUCUUGGUCCAGGGACUCUUGCAUGAGGUAGCUCACAGCCUCAUUCUUUUUCCCCAGUUUGUGGCUGGAAGCUUUAAGGCUUGAAAUCGGAUAUAGGAAUAGAGGCUUAAAUAAGAGCUGAGAACUUGAGAAAACAAGAAUGGAGGAGUCCAAAGAGUCACAGAGAUCUAGUGAUGAGAGAGCGUUUGUUCUAGAACUUGCCGACCUUGAAGAGGUCGCAGACUCCUGUCUCUCUGCUUACUCUGCUUCGGUUUCCUCCUCCAAGAGUGAUUUCUGACCAUGACAUGUUUCUAUAAUGAUUAGGGAGGCUUAGUACAUUUCCGGUUCCUCUUAGGCCUGUGACGAAAACAGAGAGCUCCGUGGUGAUUUUUUUUGUUGUUGGACUUGGGGUGGGGGGGGAAUGCCUUGGUGAUUAGCAGUUACCUAAGUACUCAGCAUAUGUAGGCAAAGAGUUAAUUUUCACAGUGCGUUAGAGAAAUUAGAAUGGGUAAUUCUCUUUCCAUAAUAUUUUCUUCUUAUCUCAAGUAUUUAGAUCAGCCUCUACCAAAACCAAAUUGUAGACCAAAUUAGUGCUUGAUGUGACUUGAUUUUAGUGGGUUCUCUCGCUAAGACAUGACACAUCUCCCUCUUCAUUAUCCCCCGGGGGAAAGGAGUGGAUCACCCGUAGGCAACCCAGGAAACGGAUUAACCAAGCCAUGGAGUAGAAUGAGUGGGUGACAGUGAUUCUAUCCCUCAGUUAUGAAAUUAUUCACAAAACAUAUCUGCAGUUAUGGUGGCCACGUGUGCAGCAUUUCAGGUGAGCUGUGGAUGGUAGGAGAAGGCAACAUGAACCUGCAGGAAGCCCCUGAUUUAUUUGACAAGUAUGCUGGCAUCAAUGGAAGCAUGGCGACUUCCUGCAGCAGGAGCAGAAAGGCAGCAUAUGGCUUUCCUCUUGCCCCUGGCUUCCCUGAGGGGCACGCAGCUGCCAGAAACUCACUUCAUCUUGGGAAGGCCCUGCUGGCAUGGCAGAUAGAGCCAAGUUCUUGCUGCAGCGCAGUGUUUCAAACCAUGGGGCCUAUGACUCAAGUCUGGGAAAACAUAGGCUAAUAACCCAUGUGCUUCCGUUAAGGGAACAUUUAUAGAAUUUAGACUCUACAGGUUCUGCACACUUUCCCCAGGAAUCCCACAUUUGCUUCUGGUGUAGAAAGAAAGAGUCAUGUUUCUGUCUCUAGCAUUCUGGUAUCUCCAAAAACCACUUCCUAGCAGAACCUUCCUUGAUACAGAUUUUGUACCCUUUCACUGGGUGGUUUCAAUAUGCUGUUUGGUUUGAAGGUAACAACAGAUUAAUUUCUCUGAAAUAUAUUUAGUUCUUACUAAAUGCAAAGGUAAACCCCUACUGAGUUCUCAGACUAAAUGAGUGAGUUUGAACCCAGGCCUGGCAGCUUUAUAAAUGACUGUGUGCUUCACUACUCUGCUUCAGAGGCACCUGGGACGCUUAUCAAAUGCAAAAUUACUGGGCAUCACCCUAGCUUUACUCCCGAAUCAUAAUCUUUGGGGAAGAAGCUAAAGAAUUGUUGUAUUUCCAAGAUCCCACUUGACUCGUGCACAUUUAGGUUUGGCCAUCACUAAUUUGCAUCCUGAUUGCACUGAUUCCUUUAGAAUUUGAAGUUCUGGUUAUCUUAGGAGGAGAAGCUGGUAUACAUGUUCCCAGCACUACUGCGACAGCUGUCUUCGCCUCCUUCAAAAAAACCACUUGGUUGCCUGGUAUCAGUAUAUACGCUAGUCAUUGCCCCAGCCUGAGCUCAGCUCAGCCCACCCACCUCAGAAUAUACUGGCAGUCGGGGUCAAAUGAGUCAGCUUCCCAAGCGCUCAUCUUGAAAAACGGAGGCCAGCUUUUGCCCCUUACCUCCUCUCUUGAGUUUUGUUAAAAUAAAGUCUGUUCUUAUCUGUGGAAACAAGCGUGCAUGCCAUCUGCUUCCUUGGAGAUGUCAGAGUCCUACAGUAUCUUUCAUUCAGCAGACACUGAUUUCACCCCUGCUUAUGAUGUCUCUUCAUCCUCAUCUCCUCUCCCAUGCCAGCAGCUUUCUGCCAUCAGAUGCAAUCAGUGUAUUUGGACAUUAAUCUAUUCUUUAUGCUUCAUUUUCCUCCCCAUUUAGGCCCAAGGAAUUUUAUAUUUUCAUAUCUCGUGACGCUCUGUGGAUUCCUUAUUUCUUCAAAUAAUGUACUUCUUUGAAAAUGUACACACAAUGUCUGUGUUUACCUUCGCUGUUUCUUAAGUUUAUUAUUUAAAUAAUGCCUGAGAUACUGCAUAUGAUACUAGACAGACAAGCUAGAAUGGAUGGCUUAACUAAGACAAGCUAUUGUGUCUACUUCCAUUAAUACUAUUGUGGUUAUCUAGGAUAACACAUUUGAAAAACAAGACAUUUUGUAUUGCAUAGCACAAGCACAAUCAAUAUUCUAGAUUGUCAAUGAAAAAAAUCUUUGAGUAAGUGGUAAAAAGAUUGAAAAUAUUUAGAUUAGUAAUGAUUAUUUGAAUAUGGAAGGCCAGCUAUUUAAUUAUUUAAAACAAUAAUACAUGGGACCCUACGACUGCUCUUAAAAAUACAAAGUCUCUUUAAAAGCCAUAGAAACCGCUCCUUAGAAAUAGUUUUAUUUAACAAUUAAAAUGGGCUCAGGAGGUGAUUUUCACUGCUUCUGUUGCUUUCAUGGUGUCUGCAGUUUAUUGGUGCCUACUUUCUGAGGAGCAUCACGGGAAUGUAAGAACACAUGGCAUUAGGAUGCAUCGUUCAUCAGGUUAAACGCCAUAUGUCACUGACUUGGGUUUCACUCUCAGGGUGCUCCUGAAGCACAUCGGGCCCCAGCUUAGCUGGCAGCAGUCCGACAUGCAGAAGUAGCACAUUGUUUCUCAUGAAAUGCCCUUCAAGUCGCUCUCAUAGCUGUGUGAGGCCUCAGCAGAAAUGCCGAGAGCCAGAGAGGAGAGAGGGUCCAGGCACCAGGCAGUAACCCUGUGUGGCGGUGUCGAGCUUGGUAUCUCAGGCAGGGAAAUGUCAGGAUCACUGGUGAGUGAUUAACACGCAGACAGGGCAGGUCCAUGUUACACCUGGGAACCUGCAGCUCACUCAAGCUACAGUGCGCCUAUGCAGAAUCCCAAAGCAGCCCCUGGGGUGCCAGGUAAGCCUCUUACCUUCAUUUCUAAUAGUCUGAAGUUACUGCUGAAAAAGAACUGAGAAGUUAAGACUCUUCUCUGCCACCAUGUGAUAAUUUGCAUUAUUCAUCUUUCUAUGAGCAGGCUUCAAUAUGUGCAUUUUCCAGAAUGUACUAAAGACGGAAAUAAAUUCAUGGCUGGCUGGGUUAAGUAUACUGAAAUGUGGCCAGAAUGAAGAAAAACAAAUUGACCUGCAUGUAGACCAACCAUGAGAGACUUUGCAAUAAGACUUUUUAUUAAUUGCACAUGCCAGGAAACAGUCACUUACUAAGACAGAUGAAAUAAAAUGUUUCCAUUUGGCAAAAUGCUUGGAGGUGGAGACAAAUUUAAUCAAUCAAAUGGGAACAUUAGUAAAAUGAGGAGAAAUAAGACACUAUAAGCAGAUCACAAUUUCAUGGGAACUUUCAUUUGUCUUUGGAGCAGCAGAAUAAAAUGGCUGUCACUGCUUUAAUCACUUGAGAACCAGAAUUCUUUUCAGAGUGUUAUCACUUAUUGUUGAAUAUCCUGUGUUAGGAGUCCAAGGUGCAGAUUCUACAUCAGAGAAUCAUUUAUUUGAUUUGCGGCAGCCACAGAUUGCUUGAGGAAUACCACUUUUGUUUACAGAAAACUGAAAUGGGCAUAGUAGAAUAUAUUCCUAUGCUUCAAGUGCAUUUUAAGACAAGAGGUCAAACUCGGGUUGUCCUUGGACAAGUGAAAAGCAGAAAUCACAAAACAUCAAGUCCUAGAUUGUUUUUGUGUAACAUUAUAGGUCUAUGAUUUUGAGAAAAUCUUACUUUU
rnacentral:lncRNA from 1 species